rnacentral:rRNA from 1 species
CCUACGGGAGGCUGCAGUGAGGAAUAUUGGUCAAUGGACGAGAGUCUGAACCAGCCAAGUAGCGUGAAGGAUGACUGCCCUAUGGGUUGUAAACUUCUUUUAUAUGGGAAUAAAACGUUCCACGUGUGGGAUUUUGUAUGUACCAUAUGAAUAAGGAUCGGCUAACUCCGAGCCAGCAGCCGCGGUAAUACGGAGGAUCCGAGCGUUAUCCAGAUUUAUUGGGUUUAAAGGGAGCGUAGGUGGAUUGUUAAGUCAGUUGUGAAAGUUUGCGGCUCAACCGUAAAAUUGCAGUUGAAACUGGCAGUCUUGAGUACAGUAGAGGUGGGCGGAAUUCGUGGUGUAGCGGUGAAAUGCUUAGAUAUCACGAAGAACUCCGAUUGCGAAGGCAGUUCACUGGACUGCAACUGACACUGAGGCUCGAAAGUGUGGGUAUCAAACAGGAUUAGAUACCCCAGUAGUC